UACGAAGGGGGCGAGCGUUGUCCGGAGUUACUGGGCGUAAAGGGCGUGCAGGCGGUGGUGCGCGUUUUGUGUGACAGCGCAAGGCUUAACUUUGCGAGGAUACGAAAGACGGCAGCACUUGAGAGCGCGAGAGGGACACGGAAUUCCGGGUGGAGUGGUGAAAUGCGUAGAGAUCCGGAGGAACACCGAAGGCGAAGGCAGUGUCCUGGCGCGCAUCUGACGCUGAGGCGCGAAAGCCAGGGGAGCGAACGGG
rnacentral:rRNA from 1 species